rnacentral:rRNA from 1 species
ACGGAAGGCAGCAGUGGGGAAUAUUGCACAAUGGGGGAAACCCUGAUGCAGCGACGCCGCGUGAGUGAUGAAGUAUUUCGGUAUGUAAGGCUCUAUCAGCAGGGAAGAUAAUGACGGUACCUGACUAAGAAGCACCGGCUAAAUACGUGCCAGCAGCCGCGGUAAUACGUAUGGUGCAAGCGUUAUCCGGAUUUACUGGGUGUAAAGGGAGCGUAGGCGGUACGGCAAGUCUGAAGUGAAAUCCCAGGGCUCAACCUUGGAACUGCUUUGGAAACUGUCGAACUAGAGUGUCGGAGAGGUAAGUGGAAUUUCUAGUGUAGCGGUGAAAUGCGUAGAUAUUAGGAGGAACACCAGUGGCGAAGGCGGCUUACUGGACGAUUACUGACGCUGAGGCUCGAAAGCGUGGGGAGCAAACAGGAUUAGAUACCCUGGUA